CAAACAGAUGAAAACUCAAAGAUGAACAAACAUCAAGAAACAAUCUUUUACUUGCUAAAGACCUUAAAGGAUAGGAUAAUACCUUCAGGGGAAAAAAAAAGGGUUCAAUAAUUACAACUGGAUGUUUAAUUGUUGCCUGUCUUCACACCCCAGGACGUGUGCAGAUGGGGAGUGUGUCCAUCUUGUAUAGAUCUGCAUCCUCAGGGCUCACACGGAGUACGAAGCACCAUAAACAUCCAACACACGUCUCCUCAGCAUAAGUCAGACAAGAUAGAAUGUAUGGAAUGGAGGCAACAGCAAAGAAUGCUGUAUGCCUGUUGCUCCAGGGAGGCAUGAAUGAUUACCAACCAGAGAGCCCCUACCAUUUACAGGCUUGCUGCCAAUUUGCAAAUAUUGUCUCACAACACUUGCAGAUGAGGCUGAAGCAGGUCGGGCUCCUUGCCCAGGGUCACCUGGCCCAUGAGGAGCACACGUGGAACUAGAACCCAUAUCCUGAAACUAAUCUUUCCUAUAUACGCCACUGCUGCCAAUAAAGACUACUUUAAAUUAGUAACUACCGAUACUAUGAGGGGAUUUAGCAGUCAUCAGCUCUACUUCAAGGGGGUAGACGAUGGAUAAAAAUCAUGAGCAACUUCCAUGCUUUGAGAACAAUACUCUCAAACCUACAUCUGAAUCCUGAGAUCUCAAAAACGGUCACUAAAUAUAAUUUACAACCCUAAACAAUUGUUUGCCGAUUUUCAUUUUACAAAGUAAAAACCUGAAGAUAAAUAAUCAUCACAAGGCUGCAUAUUGCUGACAUCUGGGCCAGAUUACAUCAAACACUGCCUUCCUGUUCAACACUGCACGAGAGAAUAAAAAAAAAAUUCCCCAAUUUAAACCUGUCCCUAGAGCCAUAAAGAAAGAAAAACU